GGCCGGGGCCCCGCGCAUCCUCUUCCGCAGGCGCGGCGCGCCCCGCCCCGACAGGUGCGCCGUGUCCUCCCACAACUGUGCGAACCGGGGCUGAGGGAGGCAUUAUGGAAGAUCGCAGGUGCCCAAAGACUGAGAUGAGCCAAGGGGACCUUUCCUGGGUCCCUGUACAGCCAUCAUAAGGGUGAUCUGCAGGAAAACACUUUGGUCUCAUCCAGCUGUAAGCGCGUUGCCCCCGCCAAACCCACAAAUCUACAGCCUUGUCCAUUAGGGCCCGUGAUUGGCUUCUGCUCGUUUGCCAACCCGAAGCUUUGCUCAUUUCUGUGCUGCCGGCAGCUACGAGACGCUCCAGGCGACAUCACCGGGGGCCAGGUGUGCCCAGAACCCUCCGAAGGAAGCCGGAAGAGAAGAGCAACCCCCCCCCCCCCCACCCACCACCGGCAUCUUGCGGCCCAGACGGUGUCUGUGGCUUCUGAAUUGUCAAAGAGCACCGUGGGGCUCUCUUCGCCAAGCUCUUUUUUUUUCAUCUUCCUAAACUGUGGGGUGGGCAGGAGUCAGGGUUAACUCAGCCCGCUUCACUUCACAGACAUGGAAAGUGAGGCCCAGAAAGAUGAAUGACUCACGAGAGAGGUCUGUGGAGUUAGGAAGAAAAUCACGUGGCGGGUUCUAUUUUCAGAACGACUCGCCAAGUCAGCUCUGCUCGUUCACUCUGCUCUUUGCACCGGGAGGGGAGGGGGAGAGCAGGUGUUGUGGAUUUGCAGCCACAAGUCGAGUUUUUCACCCCCAGACAUGAGAAAGCUCAGCGCUUUUUCUCCCCUAAGGACGGGCUUUGUGACGUCCGCAUGAAGUAGCUACAAACAGUAUGUUUGUUUUUCUAUUGCUGCGGUGACAACUUACCACCAUUGAGUGACGAAAGCAAUGCAAACGUAUUAUCUUACAGUCCUAUGGGUCAGAGGUCCAGCGUGGGUCUCCCUGGGCUAAAACCACAGGGUUGCAGGGCGGCUACGUUCCUUUCCAGGGCAGCCCUUUUCUGGCUCAUUCGGGUGCCUCAGGAAGUCAGUUCCUUGUGGUUUAGGACUGAGAUCCCCGUUCCCUGGCUGGCUGUCCGCUGAGGGCCAUUCGCAGCUUCCAGAAGCUACCACAUUCCCUGGCAUAUGGUCCCUUUCCUCAGUCUUCAAAGCCAGCCACAGAGGGUUGAGUGCUUUGAUCUCGCCUCCGUUUUGGGGUUCAUGUUUCUGACCCUUCUGGGAAAGGGCCUCUACUUUUUAGAACCCAUAUAUUAGAUUGGGCACACUUGGAUAACCCAGGAUCACCUCCCAUCUCAGAGUCCGUAUCCUUAGGCACAUCCGCAAAGUCUCUUUUGCCGUGUAAGGUGACAUGAGCACAGGUUCCAGACAUUAGGGCCUGGACAUCUUCAGGGAGUCAUUAUUCUGCCUACCGCCAACUAGAACUUUCCAGACUCCUAAACCCUCUUGAUUGUCCAGGAUCUUUACCACAUGACUUUUUACAAAUACCUUCAUUAAAAUAUAAUUCACAUACUAUAUAGUUUACUCAUUUAAAGCGUACAAUUCAGGGGCACCUGGGGGGUUGGGUCAGUUAAGCAUCUGACCCUUGGUUUUGGCUCAGGUUACAAUC